rnacentral:rRNA from 1 species
CCUGGGAAACAGAUGCUAAUACCGGAUAACAACACUAGACGCAUGUCUAGUAGUUUUGAAAAGAUGGUUCUGCUAUCACUCUUGGAUGGACCUGGCGGUGCAUUAGCUAGUUGGUAAGGUAACGGCUUACCAAGGCAAUGAUGCAUAGCCGAGUUGAGAGACUGAUCCGGCCACAGUUGGGACUGAGACACCGGACCCAAACCUCCGUACGGGAGGCAGCAGGUAAGGGAAUCCUUCCAACAAGUGGAACGAAAGUCUGAUGGAGCAACGCCGCGUGAGUGAAGAAGGGUUUCGGCUCGUAAAGCUCUGUUGGUAGUGAAGAAAGAUAGAGGUAGUAACUGGCCUUUAUUUGACGGUAAUUACUUAGAAAGUCACGGCUAACUACGUGCC